GUCACUUCUCGGCCUUUUGGCUAAGAUCAUGUGUAGUAUCUGCUCUUACAGUUUCAUAUCUGAUAUGUCUCUAUCCGAGGACAACAUGUUACAUGGAUUUCUGGAGCAGGGAGUUGGAAUAGGAGCUUGCCCCGUCCACUCCAUGCAGCGACCUGGCAGUACAGCACUCGCAGGAAUGGUGCACCCCUU
ensembl:snRNA U2 U2 spliceosomal RNA